GAAAAUUUAUAAGAGGGACUGAUAUUUAAAAAAUUAUAAGCCGAAUUUUUUUUUAAUAACUAAACAGCUCACAAUUAAAAUUAGGAUUCCAAAUUUGCCUAGGCUACACUUGCAACGUCGCAGUUUUUUUUAGUGGAUCACUUAAAUUUGAACUAGAACAAAAUUUGAGUUUAAGAGCUCAAAUUUGUAGGGAAAAACAAUGUUGGAG
rnacentral:lncRNA from 1 species